GGACAGGUGGCCGAGUGGCUGAAGGCGCACGCUUGGAAAGCGUGUUUAGGUGCAAGCCUAACGAGGGUUCGAAUCCCUCUCUGUCCG
rnacentral:tRNA from 1 species